rnacentral:rRNA from 1 species
CGUACCCUAAACCGACACAGGUGGACAGGUAGAGCAUACCAAGGCGCUUGAGAGAACUAUGCUGAAGGAACUCGGCAAAUUGCAUGCGUAACUUCGGGAUAAGCAUGACUUCAUUCUGGGCAACCAGGAUGGAGUGGCACAGAAUUGGGGGUGGCGACUGUUUAUUAAAAACACAGGGCUCUGCGAAGUUGUAAAACGACGUAUAGGGUCUGACGCCUGCCCGGUGCCGGAAGGUUAAAUGGAGGGGUGCAAGCUCUGAAAUGAAGCCCCGGUAAACGGCGGCCGUAACAAUAACGGUCCUAAGGUAGCGAAAUUCCUUGUCGGGUAAGUUCCGACCUGCACGAAUGGCGUAACGAUCUCCCCACUGUCUCCAGCAUAGACUCAGCGAAAUUGAAUUCCCCGUGAAGAUGCGGGGUUCCUGCGGUCAGACGGAAAGACCCCAUGCACCUUUACUAUAGCUUUGCGCUGGCAUUCGUGUCGGCAUGUGCAGGAUAGGUGGUAGGCUUUGAAGCCGGGACGCUAGUUCUGGUGGAGCCAAAAGAUGAGAUACCACCCUUAUCGUCAUGGAUGUCUAACCGCGGCAUAACAGUGCCCGGGACAGCGCAUGGUGGGUAGUUUGACUGGGGCGGUCGCCUCCCAAAGAGUAACGGAGGCGCGCGAUGGUGGGCUCAGACCGGUCGGAAAUCGGUCGCUGAGUGCAAUGGCAUAAGCCUGCCUGACUGCGAGACUGACAAGUCGAGCAGAGACGAAAGUCGGUCAUAGUGAUCCGGUGGUCCCGCGUGGAAGGGCCAUCGCUCAACGAAUAAAAGGUACGCUGGGGAUAACAGGCUGAUACUGCCCAAGAGUCCAUAUCGACGGCAGUGUUUGGCACCUCGAUGUCGGCUCAUCACAUCCUGGGGCUGGAGCAGGUCCCAAGGGUAUGGCUGUUCGCCAUUUAAAGUGGUACGUGAGCUGGGUUUAAAACGUCGUGAGACAGUUUGGUCCCUAUCUGCCGUGGGUGUUGGAAUAUUGAGAAGAGCUGCCCCUAGUACGAGAGGACCGGGGUGGACGAACCUCUGGUGGACCUGUUGUGGCGCCAGCCGCAUUGCAGGGUAGCUAUGUUCGGACGGGAUAACCGCUGAAAGCAUCUAAGCGGGAAGCCUCCUUCAAAACUAGUAUUCCCUUGAGAGCCGUGGGAGACCACCACGUUGAUAGGCCGGAUGUGGAAGCGCAGCAAUGUGUGAAGCUGACCGGUACUAAUAGCCC